rnacentral:lncRNA from 1 species
GACUACACCUCCCCCACCCUCCUGCAGCAGGGUGGAUCCCACCUAGCGGGACUCCCCACCCACCCCUCCAGGCCUUCUCCACUCCGGACUCUGGCCACUUGCCACCGUUGUCGCCCGCCGCCGCUGCAGGGAGGGUGCACGGAGGGAGCAGACCGUCUCCGGAGCCCGCCGCCCUGGGGGCUGCAGUGAUGGGGCCGGGCUGAGGCACCUGCCGGCGGGGUAGCAGGGCAGUCGAGCACGGAGGGAGGGGCGGGCCUCCAGGGGACUUCAGCGGGAGCCGGGCCUGGGGCGGUGCCGCACUUGCACACGGAGUGUGGGGGGCCAGGCCUGGGACCAGGAGCUGGGGCCGGGCUUCGGCGCAGAGGCAGGAAGAGGAAGCGGCACCCGCUUCGGGGACCCAGCCGGCGGCCAGGCCACCGCGCCCACCCGGCCGAUGGCACCGUGUUCCUGCGCCUCGGGAGGGAGGAGGCUCUGCGCGGGACUGCAGGUUCUGCCCCGCAUCGGAGUGAUCGCUGAGCCUGACGCUCUCGAAGGCUGGGCCUGGGGCCCGCAAUCUACUCCGGAGGCUUUCCCACUGGGCAGGGUCGCUAGCAGGGUGCCACCCGGGUGCAGUGAGGACCUGGAGCCCCUGCCCCAGGCUGUGAGGAGACUUGACCAGAGCUGCCUGAAUGCUCCACGGAGCAGGAGGAAGCAUUCCCAUGUGAAAGAUGAGCUCCCUAUAAAAGCAACGCUCUUAUCAUCGAGAACAGAAAGUUGAAGCCAAGAGAGAGCUCCACAAGCUGACCUUGUUAAACUAACCCUUAUCUUCUUAGUCGCUUCUUUACCCAAUUAACUACCCUAG